AAGCAGCAUAGUGAGUUGCAUUCAUGGCCAAAGACAUAUUAGGUUAAUUAUUUUACAUAAUUAUUUUUCUUCAUUUGCCAUGGCAUGUAAUCGGUGAAGGAUUCAGGAUUAUCCUGCAUGGAAAUAACGUUUUAAACGUGCUAUAUACAGUAAAACGGUGUUCAAUAUUCAUACUACAUGAUGGGCAUAUGGCCAAACAAACACCUUGUGCUUUUUUGCUCAAAUUUACGCACGCAUGAUUUUGUAUACAUAACAUAGAUUUAAUUCUAGCAAUUCAAAUCCAAAACUCAUGGCGUCAUACAUGACAUCUAUCUAUAAUUUAUAUUUUCUUGAAAUGUUAGGUGAUUCAUUGUUAUUGUCGUUGUUGUAACCCAGUAAACAGACUCACAUGUCACAUGUCGUUCUUGUUCCUUUUAAUAUACAACAUACGAUGGACGAUAAAGCUUCGAAUUACUUCUCUUUAAUUUCCAGUCCGGCUUUGUCCAGUCUUUGAAGUGACUUUACAAGCGCGUGUUGAAACAGGUCAUCUGUACAAGAACCCAAUGGGUUCAACCCAUGAUGUUUCGAAUCACAGCGGCCACUUCGAGCACAUUUCGACUCGAUCAUGUUUACAUUAUACAUGAAAAUUGAUACAUGUAAUACGAAACCGAAAUAUGGUUGCAUUUUGACGAAUAUUAACGAUAUAACGAAAUAUAAAACCCCAAUAUGUAUAAUUCCAUUAGCUGGUCUGCACAUAUUCCCUUGAUGGUGGAAAAUACAUCGAAACAAAAGAAAAAUCCAAUAAUUUCUGCUCACCAACACGUCUCCACUCCUCAGUAAGAAUUAGUGCAUAGUCAGCAUUUUUAGCUUGCAGCAGAACGCGUUUACUUCCGGAAAACACCAGAAUUUGUGGUGUUCCGGUUUGGCUUGUCCCAGGGCUUACGGCAACGCAGGCAGCCGAGAAGCCCUGGGAACGAGGAUGGAACAGAGUAAUUAUUAACAUUUUAAUAUAUCGUUUACAUUAGCAGACAGAGACAUUAUGCUAUAAUUAGCUAUAAAUAG